UCACAAAGAGUGUUGAAUUCAUGCCAUUUUAUCUCUCUUUAUCAACUUUCUUGAUGAGUCUCUCUUUCUCAGCUUAUGGAUUUUCCAAUUAUGAUCCUUUCAUAUAUGUUCCAAAUGUGAUUGGGACAAUCUUGGGAGUUGUUCAAUUGGCCUUAUACUACUACAUUAGUAGAACAUCAAGAGAAGACUCAAGACUACCCUUGAUCAACACAUAUGUAGUUUGACUAAUUUUUGUCAAAUAAUAAAUGUAAUUUUUUUCUUUCUUUUUUGCAUAUAAAAGAGAAAUUAGGAAAAAUCAUUGUUUAUACAAAAUAGAAAUUAGGCAUUGUUUUUCUUUCUCUCUUUUCUUUUUUUAGUCUAAAUUCCAUCUUAUUAAUUUUUAAAAAUUCCCCUAUAUUCAAUAAGAAAUUUUUAUUUAUUUUA